CUACGGGGCGCUGCAGUGAGGAAUUUUGCGCAAUGGGGGAAACCCUGACGCAGCAACGCCGCGUGAGCGAAGAAGGCCCUCGGGUCGUAAAGCUCUGUCAAGUGGGAAAAAGGCUCAUCGGUCAAUAGCUGAUGGGUUUGAUGGUACCACUGGAGGAAGCACCGGCUAACUCCGUGCCAGCAGCCGCGGUAAUACGGAGGGUGCAAGCGGUGUUCGGAAUUACUGGGCGUAAAGGGCGUGCAGGCGGUUUGGCAAGUCAGGCGUGAAAGCCCCGGGCUUAACCCGGGAAGUGCGUUUGAAACUGCCUUUCUUGAGUAUGGGAGAGGAGAGUGGAAUUCCCAGUGUAGAGGUGAAAUUCGUAGAUAUUGGGAGGAACACCCGUGGCGAAGGCGACUCUCUGGACCAAUACUGACGCUGAGACGCGAAAGCGUGGGGAGCAAACAGGAUUAGAUACCCCAGUAGUC
rnacentral:rRNA from 1 species